GAACACCCUUGCAUCCAAUUGCCUGCCAAGUGCAAAUCUUGACAAGAGAAUCUGCUUUUUUAUUUUUCCUCUUUCUUUCGUGGCUUUGAGAGCAACGACUCUCCUCAUAAAAACUGCAAGCCAACAAACAUCAAAAUCUUUGUUAUUUUCGCUCUCAAAGAUUAUCUCCAUCUCUCUCACAUAGUUUUUGUUGUUUACGCCUGUGUAUGUGCAGUGAGAGCCAGGGAAAGAGAUGGAAGAAGAGAA
rnacentral:misc_RNA from 1 species